rnacentral:rRNA from 1 species
GACGAACGCUGGCGGCGUGCUUAACACAUGCAAGUCGAACGGUGAAGGGGCCUGCUUUUGUGGGCCCUGGAUGAGUGGCGAACGGGUGAGUAACACGUGAGUAACCUGCCCCCUUCUUCUGGAUAACCGCAUGAAAGUGUGGCUAAUACGGGAUAUUCUGGGUCUGUCGCAUGAUGGGUCUGGGAAAGAUUGCGCCUUUGGGUGUUUUUGGUGGGGGAUGGGCUCGCGGCCUAUCAGCUUGUUGGUGGGGUGAUGGCCUACCAAGGCGGUGACGGGUAGCCGGGCUGAGGGGGUGGACGGUCACACUGGGACUGAGACACGGCCCAGACUCCUACGGGAGGCAGCAGUGGGGAAUAUUGCACAAUGGGCGCAAGCCUGAUGCAGCGACGCCGCGUGAGGGAUGGAGGCCUUCGGGUUGUAAACCUCUUUCGCCAGUGAAGCAGGCCUGCUCCUUGUGGGUGGGUUGACGGUAGCUGGAUAAGAAGCGCCGGCUAACUACGUG